CCCCUCUCAUUCCCCCUGCUCUGGUGUUUCCUCCUCAUUCCCCCUGCUCUGGCGUUUCCGAGCCCCUGACGCCCACGUUUCUCCUCCUGAUUGGGUAUUACAGAACGUCUCGUUCUCUAAAACUUAAAGCUACUAACGUUACCAUGGUAACCACCAGCAGUGGGCGGAGUCUCCAAGCUGCCUCCUGUUUAUGUCCAGUGUAACAGGAUGAUGAUUAUC